rnacentral:rRNA from 1 species
GAUGAACGCUGGCGGCGUGCCUAAUACAUGCAAGUCGAGCGAACGGACGAGAAGCUUGCUUCUCUGAUGUUAGCGGCGGACGGGUGAGUAACACGUGGAUAACCUACCUAUAAGACUGGGAUAACUUCGGGAAACCGGAGCUAAUACCGGAUAAUAUUUUGAACCGCAUGGUUCAAAAGUGAAAGACGGUCUUGCUGUCACUUAUAGAUGGAUCCGCGCUGCAUUAGCUAGUUGGUAAGGUAACGGCUUACCAAGGCAACGAUGCAUAGCCGACCUGAGAGGGUGAUCGGCCACACUGGAACCGAGACACGGUCCAGACUCCUACGGGAGGUAGCAGUAGGGAAUCUUCCGCAAUGGGCGAAAGCCUGACGGAGCAACGCCGCGUGAGUGAUGAAGGUCUUCGGAUCGUAAAACUCUGUUAUUAGGGAAGAACAUAUGUGUAAGUAACUGUGCACAUCUUGACGGUACCUAAUCAGAAAGCCACGGCUAACUACGUG